rnacentral:rRNA from 1 species
AACGAACGCUGGCGGCGGGCCUCAUACAUGCAAGUCGAGCGCGAAAGUCCGCAAGGAUGAGUAAAGCGGCGCACGGGUGAGUAACACGUGGGUAAUCUACCUUUUGGAUUGGAAUAACCUGUCGAAAGACGGGCUAAUGCCAAGUAAGUUCUUUGGAACGUGGAGUUUUGAAGAAGAAAGAUGGCGCAAGCUAUCGCCGAAAGAUGAGCCUGCGUCCCAUUAGUUAGUUGGUGGGGUAAUGGCUUACCAAGACAAUGAUGGGUACCUGGUCUGAGAGGAUGACCAGGCACACUGGAACUGAAACACGGUCCAGACUCCUACGGGAGGCAGCAGUAGGGAAUAUUGCGCAAUGGACGAAAGUCUGACGCAGCCACGCCGCGUGAGUGAGGAAGGCCUU